AGAAUACUCGCGGUAAUAACUGCUACAUCGCGUGGCGCCAAUAAAUGAACUGACCAGCAGCGCGCGAGAAGCGCUGUAGAAGCCCACAUAGCUGUUCUGCCUUGGAUAGAAGAGAACUUCAAGAGCGAGAAUCAACGUGGGAAAGCAAAUUUGAGGCCAUGGUUCUUGGCGUGCUGGCAGAAAAUUCUCUGCCAUUUUCUGUUGCACCGGUAAUUGUGGAGCUCGCUCAAACACUGGCUCUGGACAAAGUGGCCCUGCAGGGGAUUAAGCUGUCUCGGACAGCAGCAUCGUAUAAGAUGGUAUAUGGCCUAGGGAAGACCUUCUCCGAUAGGAUUUUCGCCAACAUGAGGAGAUUUCUCUUUUCCCUAAAUGUGGAUGAAAGCACUUCGAACAACAACAAGAAGGUGCUGUCCAUGCUUGUCUGCUACCACCAUCACGACUUUGGGAAGGUGAUGGUUGAACAUCUUGGGUCCCUGGAGAUGCUGAAGACCAAUGCUGCUACUUUGGAGAGGGUGAUUUGUCAGUUUUUUGAAGAAAACAACAUCCCAUGGAGAAACCUGGUCAGAUGUUUACUUGAUUCGUGUGCCGUCAUGAGGGGGAGUAAGACUGGCCUGGAGACGAGACUCCAUAAACACUGUCCCGGACUCCUUGAUAUAGACGGAGACUUUUGUCACCAUGUCCACAAUGCAGCUAAGAAGUCUCGAACAGCUCUUCAGUGAUCUGCAGACAGACCAUCAAUGGAGUCCAGAUCAGGUGAUGUAUCUCAAGGAGGUAUGUGCCAUACUUGGCAUUCCUGCAUCCAACCCUCAGAGAGGGUUUGUGAAACAUCGAUGGCUCUCUGCAUAUGAUGCUAGUAUGGAAACACAGUCAAUGCUGCCAGCGUACAAGGUACUUUAUUUUGGAUUCUUGAGCAAAGAGGAUCAGGAAUUAUACAACAAACCUCUGGAAAGGCUUUUCGCAGAGUGCAGUGUCAGUCAGACAUUUAAGGCCAGAAUCAAGUUUAUACAUGGGGACCUCAGAAAGAAAGGCAUGACACAGCAAGGCAGAGACCGAAAGAGGAGAGUCACGCAGAAGAUCUGGCUUCAGGAGAGAGAGACGCGGCUACAGCUUAGUGCCUAUUAUGGGCAUACUGGCCAUUUUGAAGGAGUAUGUCAUGGUUUUUCAGGGUAGCCAGACAUUAGUCCACAAGCUGCACGACAGACAGCUUGAGCUGUUCCUGACUUUCCUGGGCUGUUUUGUCAAGGCAGAGCACUUCACGCAGCUCUCUCCCAGGGCUCUUGCAGAGUUGGAGAUACAGGAAGCAAUGAUUUUGUCCCUCAGGCAGUUGUUCGUGGGACAAGACACGGACACUUUCAGAUCUCAAAACCCAACUCAGGCACUACUGAAGUCAUUCUUGCAGAAGCUUAAGAAUGCAUAUACAACAACUGCCUCUUAUCUUCAAAAGAAACUUCCCUUGGCCAGCCCAACCCUGAUAGCCCUGUCUGCGUUGGACCCAUCUCUGAGAGGCCACUCGCAGGCAGCCGUACAACUCAAGACAUUGAGUCGAUUGUUGAGUCACUUGGUACCUACAGAAAAUAUCCACCUUGAGAUAGUACGGUACAAUGUUGAUGUCUCCCUCCCCAGAUUUGGUGACCGAGAUUGUGUGGUGGAGUGGUGGGGGCAUGUGUUUCAGAGGAGAGACAAAUAUCCUGCACUCAUCAGUCUUGUUAAAUGUGGCCUCUCCAUUUUCCAUGGUCCGAGAGUAGAGUCCUCUUUCAGUAUUAUGAAUGACAUCAUUGACCAUAGAAGCGGAAACAUGAAAACAUCUACUUUUAACUCCAUUCAGACAGUCAAAUAUAGCCUUCUUGUGCAAAAAUAUCAUCUUAGCAGGAACAACAGAUAAAAGACAGAGGCAGCAGAGCCUGCUUGAAAAGAGGCAGCUGACUACCUCACCUGGCACUGCUCUGGACAGAAAAAAACAGACAGUUGAGGAAGAGAAGAGGGCCAGGCUUAAGCAUACUUUCAAGCAGCGCAAACAGGCCAUGCACACUUUGGUGCAAGCCAAAAAAAAAAAGUAAUUGAGUCCAGGACAAGAGCCCAGGAAAGGAGCACACUGGAAAUGUUUUACAUUUAUUUUUUAUACCAUAAGGGACUUUUGAAUUUACUUUUAUACCAUAAGGGACUUUUCU